CCAAUUCGGCCUCCUGGGCGGCUGCGCGCUCAACCCCCUCCCUCCGUGCCCGUGCAUAGCUUGCUCCCUCUGCCCGCCUCAUUUUGGGGCGGUUGGGCUGCGCCCGUGGGGUAGGGUCCGGAACAAGCGACGGAGCCAAUGAGGCGCGGCGGCUGCAUCAGGCCGACUGCCAGCAGCGGCUGAGGUGGAGGCGGAAGGAGGCGGAAGGAGGCGGAAGGAGGCGGUGGCGGCGGAGGGGCAAGAUGGCGGCGCCCGUCCAGUUCUUCUGAGAGUGUUGGUGCUGUGGUGGUAGCGGGUGGCCCAGUAUGCCGUGUGCGCAGCCCGGAUCCUGGAGUGGGAGUAGGAGCGGGACCCCGAGCACCCGGCCCUCUGCGACCUGCGGCCCUGGCUGAGCUUGUGUUUCAGAAUUUUGACCCGAAUGCAUCUGUGUUGAAAGCCGGGCUUGGUCUGUCAUCCCAGGACUCUGUGUCGGUCCCUUUCCUUGCCUAUUUGUUGAGUUGGAGCUCAUCUUCAUGCCUCUGGUUGAUCAUCCGGGACUACCACCAGCCCCUGGAGAGCAGUGGCCUCUGGUCCUUAAACAAGGAGGACAUGUCGGAACAAGUCAUGCCUGUUUUGGUAAAGAAGUGGACGAAGAAAUGCACCAAGUCAAGGAAUGCUUGGGAACCAGGGGGCUAUGCCCUUUCCUCCUGCAGCUCCUUGCAUCCUGGUCCUGGGAAAGUGAGCUUAACACAGCAGAGAUACUGUUAUCUGGGCUGGGUUUUACCCAUCACUGCUGGUACAGGAUGCUUGCUCGGGCCCAGGGCCCUCAGUGAAUGGAGCACUCUGCAUAGCUGCAAAGCACUGUUCCUGCCCCAAAGGACUGAACUCCAGAUACCACCUGGCCCUCAACCAAACAGCCUGUUUACGGCCUCUGCAGAGCAGGUCUACUUUCAGAGCAUCCUGGCUGUCCAUUGCUCUACCAUCUCCUCCCGGGUCACGGGCAUCAGCAGUCCAGGGAAGGAAGCAAAGCAAAUGGAGAAUGGCAUGUUGGUGACAGACAGUAUGGGGAAGCAACUACAGAGACAGCUCAGCAGCUCCUCCUCCUAUAGCGGGGACAUCAGCAGGCACCACAAAAGCACAGCAGAGCUGCAGAAAGCCAAAGCCAAGAAGGAGGAGACUUGAAAGCUGAUGAAGGCUGACAAGGCACCAACAGGGCAGGUCCAGGUAAAGGCUCUGACAGUUUCUGAAGGACACACUGCUGAGGAUCUCUGUCACCGAUGGCUGGAAUGUAG